GUUUCGUAAUCGUAAUUACCUUUUCCACAUGUAUGCUGGAAAUCCAAAGCACUGGUAUCUCCUUGUGCAGGCUGUCACACGGCAUGAUAUAACCAUUGACGAGAAUAUAUAUGGCGGAAUGACACCCCACGAACUCUCUCAAGCCCAAGAAAAAGAGCUUCAGUUGGCCCAGCAAGACAUAAUGAUGGAGAGGACUAAAGAUAAGAAAAAUUCACUGGAGUCUUAUGUAUAUGAAGCGCGAAAUAAGGUACAAAUUUAUGCUUUACCUGGGAUAAAAUCAUUUAACCUGAUUUUAUUAUUUAUGGUAUAACAACUUAAUCUGAGGAAAAAAAAUGUCAGUGCCACACUGACACUACAAGUAGAAAACUUUUUAUGGUUUUGUGUCAUAUAGAAGUUAUCACCAGCAAUGCCAUAGUAACUUGGGCAUUCCUUGAUGCUCAUUUUUUCCAAAAACCUACAUGGUGCACUAUUUGAGGGAAAAUAGCUGGAUCUGAAAUUCAAAAACAACAGCAGGGCAAUUUAAGCAAUAGAAUGAUCAAUGUGUAAACCCACUUCUAUUAUUUCGGCUGCUGCUUCAUUUGAAGCAUGCAGUAACUGGCAUAUUGUUAGAGACGCCUUUUCACCUUUCUUUAAUAUUGUGAACUCUGUUCUAGUAGUUAUAAUUGCAGUCAUCCUUUCAUGUAGAUUUUGACGAAUUCUGAUGAUUUUGGUAAUUAAAGUUUUGGGUUUUUUAGAUGCCGAAGUUUCUUUACUUGUCCUUCUUUUGAAAUCAUUAAUGUAAAAGAUUUUCAAGAUUCCCAAAACUAUGUCCUUGUCUUUCAGUCUGAUAUCUCGAGCGUGGCAUUCUAUAAUGUGGAAAGUGAAUUGUAGUUCAGUUCAUUGCCUUUAGUGUUUCUUACAUCUUUAAGAAUGAGUAAAAACAUUUGAACAGAUUUUAAACGAGUAUAGAAGCUUUGCAACUGAUUUAGAAAGGGAAGGGAUCUCCAAUAAUUUACAACAAACUGAGGAAUGGCUCUAUGAAGACGGAGAUGAUGAGUCUGAAAGUGUUUAUACAGAGAAAUUAGAGGAUCUGAAAAAGGUUCUUUUGACUUCCUGUUUAGAGUACUCAAGUUUAUACUUCUUUUGAGAUUUAUAGACAGCCAACACUGGAAAAAAAUAAAAAUAAAUAAAAAUUAAUAAAAUUGUUCAUUAGAUUGUGGAUCUUGUUGAACAUCGAUACAAAGAGGAAGAAGCCAGGGCACAGGCAACCAGAAGUCUACUAAACUGCGUAGUGGAGUAUCGCAUGGCUGUAGGAUCACUUCCACCCAGCGAAAGAGAUGUACGUUCCCUUCUUGUAUGAUUUUUUUUUUUUUUUAAUAUGAUUAGCCGAAAGAGUAAUUAUGUGGUGACUUUUAUUUUGCAGGUCAUUGAUGAAUGCAAUAAAGCAGAGCAGUGGCUUCGAGAAAAAACCCAAGAGCAGGAUUCAUUACCCAAAAAUGCAGAUCCAAUACUCUUGUCAAGUGAAAUCAAGAGGAAAGCCGAGGCUCUGGAAGCGUAUGUCUCUGAACUUAUUGAUCGUAGUCAAUUGCUUUGCAACUCAGUUUAUAUAUAUUUGGACCAACCAAAAAUGAUUAAAAUGUUCUGUAAAAUCAAUGUUGAACAUGCCUGUUGCAAUGUUAAUUAGAAAUUUCUCCUCACGGUUGAGUACUGUGUACUGUGUCAAGUGCUUUACUGAGUUUCUAUAUUUCUGUUAUUGCUUAUUUCCAGUGAAAUGUGAAUGCUGUUAAUUUCACGAAAUUCAUUUUCAGGAUUUGCAGACAUACAUUGGCGUCCAAGUCUUCAUCUGCAAGGCCCGAGGAAAACAGAGAAUCAGAGACGAGAGAUCCAACGGAUGAUAUUCAUGCUGAUUGAUGUGAAUCUAGCAAGAUUGUGAUACUAAAAGAGCUGGAGUACUAGAAACAGCUAGAUCAAUCACCGCAGGAUUAAUUUGGAUAUAAUUCUUAAGACUACUCACUGCAAGCUGUCAUUCUCGCACGGAACUCGUAAGUUAUUAUUCUUAGUUUUUAUUUUCUGUUAUAUGUUAAUUUUCCUCUGAGAUAGAAUAGUGUGCUAAUUCAACCCAAGUUACAGACACUUGUAUACUACUACUCUCUCUACUGUCCCCCUACAACAGUUCUUACAGUACAUUCAACACGGGUCAAUUCCUUGACGCUGUAAUAGAAGUUAGAGUCCUCCAUAUUUAAGCACCCUUGAUGGAUGUAGAACAGAAAAAUUCUCCUCAAGGGAUUAGUGGCUUGACAUUUUUAUCUUCAUGGCUGCAUUUUGCUUCUUCAACCAUGUCUUCUAAUUUAGCAUAUUCCACCAACUGUUCAAAUUCUGUUAUAAUAACAAUUUCUUUUCG
rnacentral:lncRNA from 1 species